rnacentral:rRNA from 1 species
UGCGGAGGGUGCGAGCGUUGUCCGGAAUCACUGGGCGUAAAGGGCGCGUAGGCGGCCUGAUAAGUAGGGGGUGAAAUCCUGCGGCUUAACCGCAGGGCUGCCUUCUAAACUGUCAGGCUAGAGCACGGUAGAGGCAGAUGGAAUUCCCGGUGUAGCGGUGGAAUGCGUAGAGAUCGGGAAGAACAUCAGUGGCGAAGGCGGUCUGCUGGGCCGUUGCUGACGCUGAGGCGCGACAGCGUGGGGAGCAAACAGG